AGGAGGUUCAACCAUAGAAAUGAAGAAGACAAAGCAUCCAUCAACACAGUAUGCACAUUAUAAAAUGCAUCUCCAAAUUAGAAAAACAUUUUCUUCCCAUUUCAUCUUUCCUCAAGCGAAACCAACAAAAUACUAAUCUAACAUACUAGUACCAAACAAUAAUUGAGAUUCUUCCUCUACUUCAUUUCUCUAUCUUGGGAACAUUUCAAAACAUUGCCUCGAAUUGCAAUAAAAUUCCUCGGCUUUACAGUGCCAAGAUUCUAUUAGAAAUAUUUACCAUCCAUCGAAAAACCUAUUCUUUAAUUAAUAUCCUGCUCCAAACUCAAUUCCAGAAUCAUUUGAAUAUGAGAACAACUUCUUUUCCACAAUCAUUAAACUAAAGCCAUUCAUAUUAUAAACAAAACUAUGGAUUUGCAAAAAAAAAAA
rnacentral:misc_RNA from 1 species